rnacentral:sRNA from 1 species
GCGGAUCGCCCACCGUGCCCAUCCCCAGGGUAAGCUGCGGCAGGUGGGCAGGACAGGUAGGAUGACUGGGCUAGCAGGUUCUGAGUCUCUUCUCCCCCAGGGCUGGUGCUGGUCACCGAUGCCAUCCCUGCCUUGGGCCUGGGCAACGGCCGGCACACGCUGGGACAGCAGGAAGUGGAAGUGGAUGGUCUGACGGCCUACGUGGCAGGCACCAAGACGCUGAGUGGCAGCAUAGCCCCAAUGGACGUCUGUGUCCGGCACUUCCUGCAGGCCACAGGCUGCAGCGUGGAGUCGGCCCUGGAGGCUGCAUCCCUGCACCCCGCCCAGUUGCUGGGGCUGGAGAAGAGUAAAGGGACCCUGGACUUUGGUGCUGACGCAGACUUCGUGGUGCUCGACGACUCCCUUCACGUCCAGGCCACCUACAUCUCGGGUGAGCUGGUGUGGCAGGCGGAUGCAGCUAGGCAGUGACAAGGACCUCGGCUGAGAGGACACCUGGCCGCAGCGGGAUGCCAUCAGGGCCGGGUGGUUG